rnacentral:lncRNA from 1 species
UUUUUUUUUUUCUUUUUUUUUCAAGACAGGGUUUCUCUGUGUAGCCCUGGCUGUCCUGGAACUCACUCUGUAGACCAGGCUGGCCUCGAACUCAGAAAUCCACCUGCCUUUGCCUCCCAAGUGCUGGGAUUAAAGGCGUGCGCCACCACACCCGGCGUCUCUAGUCUCUAUUAAUAAAUCGAAGCUAAUCAAUUCAAAUUAGUUUCAGCAAGAUUGGUAGGGAAAGGAGAGGGGAGACUGCUCCCACCAAAGAGCGUCGUUCCUAUAAUAAAGAUCAAAUGUGCAGGGAAUCGGUCAAACCAGUUCUUAACAAUAAAAGGUUCAACCAUUAAACAAACCUAUGAAUUCAUGUCCUCCUUCAGGGACAGCUCCUUCACGUAAGCAGUCACGCCGUUCACUUACACAUAGAAGCAGACGGCCCCUCUGCAUAAUUCUGUUGCCUCUAAAUGUCAGAGUAGCCACUGAAGGAGGUGGCCCAGGUCACAAAUGCUCCGCCUUCCACAGCCCUAGCUCCCAGCAGGUUAGGAACCCUCUGGUCCUUUUUAGAGCUGUGGCAAAGUAGGCAGGGUUCCUUCCUUGACAGGGCUCCUCCAGUCUUUACCCUGUAUUCCCCUGAAGGAAGCCCUGAGGGAAAAUCCCCAGCAGGGUGGCUGCUGCCUUCCCAUGCUGCCUUCCAAGGGAUCCCCAGCUCCUCUGUGAAGGGGAUGCAGAGCGCUUGCUGUCAUCCUUAGCCACAGAGAAGAUGGUGACCGGCUGUAUCUGACCGGCUGGCCGUGUGUGGUUCUCAGUGGGAAGGAAGGCCACCUCUGCCCCAAAAUUUUCUGUUCUUCAUUUCCUUGUUUGCAAUCUGGAAAUAAUAAUAUAUUUCACUGGGUGGUUAUGAGAAUUAAUUUAAAAGACUAUAAAUUAAGUACGGGCUAUCCACCAGACAGCAUGCCGGCCCUUUGCUUAGGCCCCCCAUCCUGGCUUUGGGAUAACACUAUUACCUUUCCUUUCCAGUGGGCUACUUGGUAAAGCUUGCCCUUACUUGAUUUAUGAGGAACUGUCACUUGUCACAGAGGAUUGUGGUCCUCCCCGCCCUCUGCCUCUCCCCUCCAGCUCACAAAUGCUCAAAGGGACCUCCCCAAGCCCAGCCCAGGGCUUUACCCAAGAAGGGCACCAGAGGUGGGGGAUAGCCAGAGGUGCUGGUCUCUGAGCGCCCUCUGUCAACAAGACCAUGGUGGGCAAGCCUGGGCUGUAGAUCCUCAGACAUCUGCAAGACAGCACCCCUCAGCAGGCCCUGCCCUUUAAGCCCCUUCCCGCCCCCACAGAGUAUGGCCCCUUCCACCUUCCGCUUUGAGUGCCUGCAGCUGAGUAAAUAUUUUCCCUAUCUCUUUGCCUACACUUAUGUUUGGUGAAAUAUAAUAAGGGACCCCCCCCCCCCUUCGCCAGUCAUAAACCAAGAAAAAGACAAAAUGGCUCUGGCAUUGUGUGGGGACUUCUUGAUAUCCCGGAGAAGCCGGUCUGAUAAAAUGCGUCUGUAGGGAAGGGAUCAUGGGUGUUUGUGCUGCACUUGACCGUGGAAGCGCCGCCCUUGUUCUGAGCUCUCCCGCUUUGGAGCAAGCGAAGAAGGUUAUCACCGUAGUCAUCCCUCUUGUAUGUGUAAAAAUCUUUUUUGUCUCCUGGCAGGUGAUCAUUUUUUUCCUAGAAACCAAUUAGCUACUAAAAUUAAACAUGCUCUCUUUAAAUGAAUCCUUUUCAUAAAACGGUUUUAAAUUUGCUCAGCUUUUCAGAGUGUGCAGCUGACCCAGUUGUAAUCAGAUGCUUUGGGGUCCCCCUCACCGGAUCCCCCACUGCCCAGCUGCAGCCAGGUGCUUCCCACCUGAAGGCUUUCUGCCAAGGCUAGGCCUCAUCUUGGCAAAGCAGGAAGUUCCCUCAGGUCGUCAGGUUCUCCUGCCCCGGCGCCCCCUGGCAGCCAGUGCAGUUUUAAUCAGGGUACUUGCAGGUGACCGGCAGAUUAGCCAGGAGAAAGGGGCUCUGCUGGCUGUUUUGCAGUGAUGUAUUGUUUACGGGAUUAAUGUCCCAGUGGCCAAGGGUGUCAGCUGAUAUUUACUGCCAUAAGCUGUCUUAGGUGUUCAGGUUCAGCGGCCAGAUCCACAGCCACCAGAAAUGUGGGGUUGGGAGUUUGGGUGUCACAUGUGUCUGAUAAGCACGCAGAGGUGAGGCAACUUGCCAGACUCUGGGCAAGAUACCCUGCAGGACCCACUGGAGCUCUCUUCCUGCUUCUAAGGGAGCCUGACUUGCCUGAAGGGCAGGAGUGGGGGGAGGGGGGCGCGUCCAGGAAUGCUCCAGAGGGGGUUGGCAAGGAGGUCACAUUUGACAGGCCUGGCAUCAGUGAGGAACUGUGCUGCCUACCAGGAGGCUGUGGGCAUUGUGUGGGUUUUUUUUUUUUCUUUUUUCUUUUUUACCUCAGUCCCUCUCUAGCCUUCUAAAAAAAAAAAAAAAAAAAAAAAAAAAAAGGACACUUUCAAGGUCGCUGUGCCUUUAAGAAAACCUCUCCUUCCCUCUGUUCUACUGUAGUGCUUAAAGAAGCCACUCUGAAACCUCUCUGUAGAAGCACGUGUGUGUUGCCCCUGCAUGUGUGGAGGAACACCCACUGCAGAGGGUUGUUUUUCUAAAAUGAAAUUUAAUUUAACCCAAGUGUACACUGUCACACUGUAAACACGCAGGGGAACCAGAAGGGUGGCUCAUUGAACCAAUGUCCUAGUAAGGGUCAGCUUUUAGAAAACGCCAGAAAAGGCUGGAAUCUUCCCUGACAGCUCCUCUGCAGGCAGAUGUGAGAUGUGUUUAUUUUUUCAGAGGGAGUUCCUGAGGACGCAUCUCAAGUUCAGAGGUUGAUGGGCUGUCUCCCUCCUGUGCUCAGGAACCUCCCUCCACCCUCUCAAAAGGAGCCCGGUGGGCCCUGGGGGCAACAAACUCCCUAGAGAGUAGGUGGUCCCGGUCCCCUCCAGGCUGAGCUCUUGGGGACACUCCUUGCAACUAACACUGCCUUUUUCUGUCCAUUUCCCUCAAAGGAUGGCAUGAACUGGGUCUGCAAGAAUGUCAACGCAAAGAAGAAAUAAAACGGAGGCAGGCGGAUGGUGGCGCUGGAGCCGGGAGCUAGAGUCAGCCCUAGAAACACUGGGUUGCUGCUUUCUGACCAAAUGCUUUUCUGUCUGUGCACAGCCACAGCUGUGUGGCGGGCGGGGAGGGACAGCAGCCUGAGAAAGAUCCCCAUCCCAGCAGUAGAUUUUAACUGAUCUCAGAGGCUCGGUAUCGUUUUUCAAAUAAAGGAAUUAUAUUAUUUCC